CUGGGCCGCGCGGAAGGAGUUCCCUGAGUGGGGUAGGGGGCUCGCUCCUGGAAGAAGGCAUGAGGCCAGGUCCACCUUCGGAACUAGGCGUUCCUCCUCUGAGUGUACUCCUUCGCUCCAGAUACACAUGUCUCGGGCCUUUGUAUUCACUCAGUAACUAGACUAGCGCCCACAAUAGGCCACACCCCCUGCCAUGAGCUACAGUGGAUCCCCGGGCAGGCAUCUCCUACAACCUCGCAGGAUGCGCCGAUCUAAAAAGUCUGCUCAAUACCCUCCCAGAACAGCCUCCAGGGUCACAGGUUUCCAGUGCUUUCUUCCAGAUAAGCUAGGACAGAAGUCAGCAAGCCUUGUCGGUAAAGG